GGGACUUGGAAUCGUCUCGCUGCUUCAG
rnacentral:piRNA from 1 species